UUACUGCAAAGCCAGGAUAAUUUAUCGGCAAUAAUAACGCAGGCAGCAGUCGGUCGCUCGUCAAAACUUUCUUGCCCGAUGGCCGCACAUACAUAUAUCACACCCUCUCUUAGUUCCAUCUUCGUUCUACUACGGCAAAGUUUUCCGUUUAAUAAGUUUCAGCAAUUUUUCACUUUUCCAACAGCGUGUUAUUCGGAGAAACAGAGAGUAGAAAAGGGAAAGAUCGUUGAUUUUUCGUAGGGUGAAAACGACUUUCGCUUUCAAACUCGCAUUAAAGUUGUCUGUAACAUUCAUCGAGGAUUUGAAGUGGUGAUAUGUAAUGGAUUUUUUGAUAAAGAAGAUCAUAAAGUGAUUUUGUGAAGAUCAGAUAAGAAAGGAAGUUAAACAAUGAAGAAAGUAUAAUUGUUCUAUUGCAAAUAGAACUAUUGUUCCAGUCUUAAUUAUGUGAUUGAGGUUAUGAACAUGAAUGAGGUUAUGGAUAUGAAUGAAUAGAACUACGAUUUACUUGAUUGUUGAGUUGAUCUAUUUCUUGAAAUAUAGAUUUUUAUGAAUUUCAGUGAAAUAUAUUAUUAAAUAUUUAAAAAAACUAUUUAAAAAAAGGAAGAAUAGAAACAGUUGAAUUUAUCAAAAAGAUAAAAAAAAAUAGAUCAAAAGAAAAAAACACUUUUCAAACAAAGAACAAUGAUCGGUAUAACUGGAAGAACCACACAAGUAAAAAUUAGACAGUCAGCAAAUAGGAAACACACGAAAGGGAAAGCAAAAGAGCGAAAGCAUCGCAUCGAUGGAAGGUGAAGGGGGUUGAGAGGAGGUUGGCGGAAAAAUGUGGAAAGAGACUGAGCUAAAUUAAAGGGCGUCGCGAACAAAGGCGAAUGUGCUUCGAGAGCAAAACAGGCUGCAAGUAGUAUAGGUGUGCGCUACAUAGGUGGCCAUGGGGGUGUCUACGUUUGCCUCUUCGUGUCAGAUCUAAGCGCGUGGCUGUAGUGUUGUUGGCUGACGAGAAUAGAGAUGGAAAGCGAAGAUACGCAGUGAAUUUCAAUGUGUUCUGUGAUUCGUGCCCAGAAAACUAUUUUCCUCAAUGUGGUUGAAGAGAAAGAAAAGAAUGAAUGAUAUAGAAGAAACAAAAAAGAAAGAAGAUCGAAGGAUGUAUACAAGAAAAUGAUGAAACUCAUUCAAAGAAGGAUUAAUCAUGGCAAAAUUAAAUUAAAAAUUAAAUUUAAAAAAACGAAUGAAAUUAAAGGAGCAAAAAUCUGCGAAUUUGAUCUAGAAAUAAUAUAA